rnacentral:tRNA from 1 species
AGGUAAAAUAAGCUAAUUAAGCUGGUGGGUUCAUACCUCAUUGAUAUUCAAUUGACUUA